rnacentral:rRNA from 1 species
GAUGAACGCUGGCGGCGUGCCUAAUACAUGCAAGUCGAGCGAACGGACGAGAAGCUUGCUUCUCUGAUGUUAGCGGCGGACGGGUGAGUAACACGUGGAUAACCUACCUAUAAGACUGGGAUAACUUCGGGAAACCGGAGCUAAUACCGGAUAAUAUUUUGAACCGCAUUGUUCAAAAGUGAAAGACGGUCUUGCUGUCACUUAUAGAUGGAUCCGCGCUGCAUUAGCUAGUUGGUAAGGUAACGGCUUACCAAGGCAACGAUGCAUAGCCGACCUGAGAGGGUGAUCGGCCACACUGGAACUGAGACACGGGCCAGACUCCUACGGGAGGCAGCAGUAGGGAAUCUUCAGCAAUGGGCGAAAGCCUGACGGAGCAACGCCGCGUGAGUGAUGAAGGUCUUCGGAUCGUAAAACUCUGUUAUUAGGGAAGAACAUAUGUGUAAGUAACUGUGCACAUCGUGACGGUACCUAAUCAGAAAGCCACGGCUAACUACGUG